rnacentral:rRNA from 1 species
UGGGGAAUAUUGGACAAUGGGCGAAAGCCUGAUCCAGCCAUGCCGUGUGUGUGAAGAAGGUCUUCGGAUUGUAAAGCACUUUAAGUUGGGAGGAAGGGCAUUAACCUAAUACGUUAGUGUUUUGACGUUACCGACAGAAUAAGCACCGGCUAACUCUGUGCCAGCAGCCGCGGUAAUACAGAGGGUGCAAGCGUUAAUCGGAAUUACUGGGCGUAAAGCGCGCGUAGGUGGUUUGUUAAGUUGGAUGUGAAAUCCCCGGGCUCAACCUGGGAACUGCAUUCAAAACUGACUGACUAGAGUAUGGUAGAGGGUGGUGGAAUUUCCUGUGUAGCGGUGAAAUGCGUAGAUAUAGGAAGGAACACCAGUGGCGAAGGCGACCACCUGGACUAAUACUGACACUGAGGUGCGAAAGCGUGGGGAGCAAACA